GGAGUUAGCCGGUGCUUCUUCUGUGAGUGAUGUCCUUCCUGCCGGCUAUUAACCCGCAGUCCUUCUUCCUCACUGAAAGUGCUUUACAACCCGAAGGCCUUCUUCACACACGCGGCAUGGCUGGAUCAGGGUUGCCCCCAUUGUCCAAUAUUCCCCACUGCUGCCUCCCGUAGGAGUCUGGGCCGUGUCUCAGUCCCAGUGUGGCUGAUCAUCCUCUCAGACCAGCUACGGAUCGUCGCCUUGGUGAGCCGUUACCUCACCAACCAGCUAAUCCGACAUAGGCUCAUCCGAUAGCGCGAGGCCCGAAGGUCCCCCGCUUUCCCCCGUAGGGCGUAUGCGGUAUUAGCCUGGGUUUCCCCAGGUUAUCCCCCACUACCGGGCAGAUUCCUAUGCAUUACUCACCCGUCCGCCGCUCGCCACCAGGGAGCAAGCUCCCCGUGCUGCCGCUCGACUUGCAUGUGUUAGGCCUGCCGCCAGCGUUCAAUCUGAGCCAGAAUCGAACCCUGA
rnacentral:rRNA from 1 species